GGAAAAGCAUUCCAGGAAACUGGCCCCAGGCUACGUUUGCCGUCAGAGGGGAAAACAGGAAGCUGACGGGUGUGUACCACUGCAAUCCAACCUCCCACUUUUUCUACCUGCUUUUUCUUUCCCCUGACCGAAGACGCGCUGGACACACCUUUCCCCGUCCUUCUCCCGUCUACUUUCUUCACAGCAGUGUCAAUGGCCUCUGGAAUAGCGGUCCACGAUGACGUUGUUCUCACGUUUGACAAGAUCAGGGUUCGCCUCCAGGGGGCUGACAAACAGGAGCAGCUGAAGCUGGUGCUCUUCAAGAUCAGCGACGAUGGGAAAUGUAUCAUCGUGGACGAGGACAAGUGCCUGAAGGUCAAGGACCUGAACGGGAGGAGGACGUAUUCAGGAAGAUCGUCAACAUGAUGCCGACAGAUGACUGCCGCUAUGCCCUGUACGACUGUUCAUGGGAGAGCAAGGACAGCCCCAAAGAGGACCUGGUCUUCA